UUUUACAAUGUUGAUCCUGCCAAUCCAUGAGCAUGGGAGAUCUUUCCAUCUUCUGAGAUCUUCUUUAAUUUCUUUCUUCAGAGAUUUGAGAAUAAACAGGCUGAGAAAGAAAUUAGGGAAACAACACCCUUCUCAAUAGUCACAAAUAAUAUAAAAUAUCUUGGCGUGACUCUAACUAAGGAGGUGAAAGAUCUGUAUGAUAAAAACUUCUUUGGCUUCUUAAAUGGAGAAUGAUUGGUUAGAGGGUGCAUUUUGAUUUUCUUCUUGCAAUAUGAUAUUUAGAAAAGACAUAUUCUUCCUGAGACUCAUUUGAACUCCUUGUCUCCCUGAAUUAGUAUUUCUUAUCACACUCUGUGAGACAAGGAACCAGUGACCUCUGGUCUCUUACUGUCCUCACUUCCCCAGGCUGGACAGGUAUCCAGUAUCUGCUCUCCUACUCCCUUUUGUUCUACGUUCUGUGUCUGUGUUCCCUGCCUUCUGCUAGAUAAGUGCCAUUACUGAAGGGCAUACUCCUCUUUUUUGACAUCAGGCUCUGAAUCUGUUCUCCUCCCUGCCUCUUUCUGAGCUCCACUGCUGCUGCUGCUGCUGCUGCUGCUGCUGCUGCUCUCCAUCCCCAGCUUCUCUUUGACUUUCAUCCUGUUGGACUCUGGACUUUUGUCUGUGCCAGUGACUGUGCUUCCUUCUUGCCUACUGCCUUCAUCCUUGGGUAGAGUUCCCUUGAAGAGCACUUCCUCUGUAGGUCUGGUAUUCUUGCCAUCCAUCACCUCAUGCCAUCAUCCUUGGGAGAGCCCCACAUAGCCAACUACUCUCUACUACUAAGGAGAAAUAUCUUUCGAUGGAGCUAAACUUGAUUCUGUCUGUAUCUAAACUCAGCUUUCUUUCCAAACAUGGUUUAUCUCACCUUUCUUUCUUUCUUUCUUUCUUUCUUUCUUUCUUUCUUUCUUUCUUUCUUUCUUUCUUUCUUUCUUUCUUUCUUUCUUCCUUCCUUCCUUCCUUCCUUCCUUCCUUCCUUCCUUCCUUCCUUCCUUUCUUUCUUUCUUUCUUUCUUUCUUUCUUUCUUUCUUUCUCAGGACCAUAUGUCUUCUCUGUCAGAGAAACCAGAACCUUUAGACUCCUUUAGACUACUGCAGGUUUUUUUCAUUACCCUCCAAUCUCAGUUACUUAUCAAAAUGAAAUCUUUAGAUUUAUCCUGAAAUGUGGCCUGUCACACCCCCUGCCCCCCCCACAUUAUAAUGACCAUGACAGGUGCCAUGCCUCUCUUCUCCUCACAGCACCCUAGGUGGGCCCCAUAUGAAUUAUCAUAGAACACAGCUAUCUUCACACUAUUUUCUCAUCGCAGAACUGUAAUAGCUUCCUGCUGUUUACAGAGAAAUGUGAGGAAUGGGGAAAGAGCUGUCAACCUGGCAUUCAAGGCUUCCAUAUCUCAACAAAUGUAUUAUACUUUCCCUUGUUCUUAGCUUGAACUCUUCAUAUACCAUGUACUUAUUCCAUUGUGUAACACACGCAUACAUAUGCGCAUGUAUACAUACAUAUACACAUAGGCACACUUGUGCUACUUGAAGUAAAUAAAAAAAAUUAAUGCUUUGUGGUUUCAAAAUAGUCAAAACAAAGUAUUAGACACCGUACAGGUAGAAAUAUAUGAAAAUUAUUUUGCAGUGUAGUCUGUUGUUUUGAUCUUUCAGUGUUUGGCUACAGCUUUCGCAGGAGCAAUUUAUUUACUUUAUUGGAUUACUGGGGCUUUGGUUAUCAUUGUAAGUAAGCUUGGAUUUGCCAGCAUAAGGCAACAGUCAACAAAAACUGACCUCUCCCCUCACAUUUGACAUUUAAAGCAAUAGCUAAGUAUGUAUAUCUGUAUAUAUGUGUAGUACUCCUGUGUAUGUGAUAGCUGAAGAUACCACCUAACCAUAUGGAAUCAAGCUGUCAGAUUCUUGUGUAGCUUACCGAGGGUUACAUGUUUUUCCAAAAUACUGGACAAUUCUCGAUGACAUAUGAACAUUGCCAAUUCAGUCUUCCUUUGAUUGACAUGGAAAUUGAAUAUUCAUAUAUUAAUUCUGUAUAAAUAUCUGUGAGCUCUAGAAAUGAUAGAUUUAUUCCUGUAUAGAACAUCUCACUUGAAAGUCACAGGAAAGUAUGUUACAAAACAUGCAGCCUUCACAACCUGCAUUCUGUACAGAGAUUGAUACCUGCUAAUGAAUUAGUCAAGAAAAAAAUGCCUCUGUUGUCUAUGGCAAUAUCGCUCUGAAUAUACUUACCCUUAUCUGGAUACUCUUGUGUGCUUCGAAAGUCAGGGAGCUCCAAGAGUCAUGCAUGUAGCAUCUAUUCUUGUCUUAGAAGGUAUGUUUCUAGUAGCAAAUGUCAACUAUCUGAUCAAGCUCUGCUACAUGUGCUAUAGUAUCGGCCCUCUUCCUUGAGGAAUCCAGGAAUGUUACUGGAUACAGUGGCCAUAGCUUUGUAUCUUUGUAUCUUUGUCAUUUCUGCUUACUUUGCUCUCCUGUCAGUCAGGCUAGGCUAACUCUUCAAUAUUUCUGUAGCUCGAUAUGAUUAAAUCUAAUAUGCUACAUAUCCAAUAUGGCUGGUGAAAACUGCCCAGCCUAAUUACUCAGAGACUCAUGAUGAUAGGGCAGUACUCAUCCUUGAGAUGAUGUGAAAAGGGGACACAGCAAAGGACACAGUUCUUUUUGGCCCCCUCCCUCACCACUCCUGCAGGAGACACAAGUCACUGUUCCCAAUUUAGUAACAAAGUGAGUUGAAAUGAUCAUGAUUAUGAUCAAAGUCUGAGUAAGAAAGAAAACCAGGACACCAUGUUAUGUACAAACAGAUCAGCCCUGAUAGGAUACAAAGUUACCCUUUCUUUGAGUCAUCCUUAUCUUCUUGGAGAUCUGUCCUUGGAACUUUGGGAGAAUGACAGGCAAUGGAAAAUUCUCUAUUUGAAUCCCACAGCUAGAAAACUGCUAGCAGGGGGCAGUUCAUCUACAUAGUAAUAAGGCAGGCUGAACAAUAGACCAGUAAACACCAACCACAGGGCACUUCCUAAUUAGAUUUUAAAAUUACUUAAGGAAAGAAAUAUAUGUCCCCACCCCUCUUUUUUACUUUGCUUAGGAAAAUAUUCAGGCGUGCUUUGCUUUUUACAUUCAUUGAUAGGAUAAUGCUUGGUGAAACAUAUGUAGUGUAUACUGAAAUGUGUAAUGGGUACUUUUUUCAAAUGAAUCCACUGACUCCCUCAACCACCCUAGGAGAAGAAGGUCCCUACUUUCAUGGAUAGAAUGGAAAGCCAGGUUUAGAGAGAUAAAGAAUGACCUAGCCUCAUAACUAGAGAGCCCUGUAACAGGGAUGCAGCCCAGUGGGUGUAAUAACUUGCUGUCACCUGAAUUCUUUAUUACCUAGUUACUUGAUACCUAUUCUUAAUAAAUUUUGCUUCACACUGAGCAGUAAGUUGUCCAUGGCUAAUGCAAGUUCAAACACAGAAGGCAUAUUAAUUCUGCAAACCUAAGAAACCAUUUUUUUUGGGCAGUCUAUCCAGGCAAAACAUUAGCUGAUAUGCAUAUGUGUCCAUAUAUUUAGGGGGAUAUUAGUUCUGUAUAUGCAUAUGUAUGUAAGUUAACAUUCCCCACCCACUCUCAUUAGUCCUUGUUUUUUGCUCGUUCUCCACUACAUCAUCCUUCCAUGUUUAGUUGGAAACUUCUCUUCUCCCUCCAGAAGUAAAAAAAAAACAAAA
rnacentral:lncRNA from 1 species